rnacentral:rRNA from 1 species
GUCUAUGAUCAUACCACCUUGAAUGUUCCCAAUCUGCCUGAUCCAGCAACUAAGCAGGGCCAGAACUGGCUAAUUCUUGGAUAGGAGAACUCAGAUACUCCUAGUCU